UCCGUCUCAAACAGUCUCUCCCAGUCUCCUGCACCAGCCUUCCGCCGGAAACGGUCGCGUCGAAUUUCAGGUUAAUGCCCGCAAAAUUUGUUUGCCCUCAGAUUUAGGGUUUCCUAUUUCCAAGCAGUUUAGAUUUCCUAUUUCUUUGUUUCUUCGGAGUUCUCUCCCACCCCUAAAAUUCUCUCCGUCUCAAACACUCUCUACCGCGCCAAUCCGCCGGAAACGGGCACCGGGGGACGUCGAAUUUCAGGUGAAUGCCGGCCCCUAAAGUAGGAUUUGGAGGGUAAAAAAGUUGCAGCCAUGAAGCUAUGAUCGGGGGAGGCAGAGUCACUGAUUUAUUUCAUUGUUUGUUCUCGAUCACUUCUUGUCACAGAGGUUUAAUAUCGUGGCAAGGAGGUUCAACACUGUUAGUGUAAGAUGUUAGAUCUGCCAUCAUUCAACCAACCAUCACAUUAGCAACCACCACAAGCACCCAGCAACAAGGCACCACACUGGCUCUGUCAAUGUUUUCAACAUGUUGCUCCCCACUUUUCCAAGUAUCCCUAGCUGAUAUUCACAUCAAGCAUUGCCUGGAAUAAGGAAAGGCUGAGAAGGAUUGGUGUAAGCAGGUAAAUGUUGUGGUUUCUUAUCUCCCUUCAUAAGUUAUUAUUUUUUCUGUGUUUAUUUUGUUUUUGGCUGAGAAGAAGGGGCAGUGGAAUAGGUCACUUUAAGAGAGACGAAAUGAAUGCAUUUGCUGAAAGAAAGCUCAACAAAGAUGAAAAGGGAAAAGGUAAAGUGGACUCGUUAAAAGAUAAAGCCAUAAACUACCUUGUAAUGAAAUAAAUUACCCAACUUCUUAAUGGUAAAAUAAUUGAUGAAUUGGCCCAAGAGAUUGCCUAUACAGACACUGUUCCUCAUCACGAUUAACUUAUUCUCUAUUUGUACUGUCUUACAAAUAUAUAUUUAUUUUUUCAUAAUAGUAUAAGACUUUGCAAUAGGGUUUUAGUGCACUUUUACAGGUUUACUAACCCAAGAAUUCAAGUAUUGUAUGUCUGUUAUCAAUCACUUCUUGUUACAGGGGUUUAAAAUCUAGGCAAGGAGGUUGAACACUGUUAGUGUAAGAAGUUAGAUCCGCAGUCAUUCAACCAACCAUCACAUUAGCAACCACCACAAGCACCCAGCAACAAGGCACUACAUCGGCUCUGUCAAUGCUUUUCAACUUGUUGCUCUCCACUUUUCCGGUAUAUAUAGAAUACUCGACUAGCUUAUUCGGGAUUUCAAUUUUAAUUAUCUAACAUUGUACGUACUAAACCGGAGUAUCCCUAGCUUGGGGAUAUUCACAUCAAGCAUUGCCUUGAAUCAGGAAAGGUUGAGAAGGAUUAGAGUAAGCAGGUAAAUGUUGUGGUUUCUUAUCUCCCUUCAUAAGUUAUUAUUUUUUCUGUGUUUAGUUUGUUUUUGGCUGAGAAGAAGGGGCAGUGGAAUAGGUCACUUUAAGAGGUGUUUUCUUCAAUCCAUUUGAUUGUAUACUUGUAUAUAGAAAAGUUGCAGCCAUGAAGCUAUGACUAGGGGAGGCAGAGACACUGGUUUAUUCAAUUUUUCCGAACGAGUGAAUGCUUUUGCUGGAAAAAAGCUCAACAAAGAGGAAAAGGCAAAAGUUGAAGUGAACUCAUUAAAAGAUAAAGCCAUAAACUACAGUGUGAAGAAAGACAUUACCCACCUUCUGACUGGUAAAAUAAUUGAUGAAUUGGCCCAAGAGAUUGCCUAUACACUGUUCCUUUUCAUGAUUAAUGUAUUCUCUAUUUGUAUUCUCUUACAAAUUUAUUUAUUGUCAUAAUACUUCGUGAUAGGGUUAUAGUGCAAUUUUACAGUUUUACUAACCUGAAAAUUGUAGGUCUGUUCUCGAUCACUUCUUGUCACAGGGGUUUAAAAUCUAGGCAAGGAGGUUGAACAUUGUUAGUGUAAGAAGUUAGGUUCGCCAUCAUUCAACCAACCAUCACAUUAGCAACCACCACGUAACAGGGCUGACCUGAGCACCCAGCCACAAGCACCCACAUCAGCUCUGUCAAUGCUUUUCAACAUGUUGCUCCCCACUUUUCUGGUAUAAAUAGAUUACUCCACUAGCUUAUUAGGUGUUUCAAUUUCAUUUAUCUAACAUUGUACCUACUAGAACAUAGUAUCCCUUGCUCGAGGUUAUUCACGCCAAGCAUUGUCUGGAGUAAAGAAAGGUUGAGAAGUAUUGGAGUAAGCAGUGUAUGUUUGUAACCACCACAUUAGCAACCACCAUGAACACCCAGCCCCAAGGCACCACAUCGGUUUCAUCAAUACUUUUCAACAUGUUGCUCCCCACUUUUACGAGUAUCCCUAGCUCGAGGAUAUUUACCUCAAGCAUUGCCUGAAAUAUGGAAGGUUGAGAAGGAUUGGAGAAAGAAGGUAAAUGCUGUGGUUUCUUAUCUCCCUUUAUAAGUUAUUUUUCUGUGUGUUUUGGGCUGGGAAGAAGGGGGUAGUGGAAUAGGUCACUUAAAGAGGUGUUUUCUUCAAUACAGUUGAUUGUAUAUUUGUAUAUGAUGUUGUGCUUUAUAUAGUUGAUUGAUAAGGUUGAACUGAAGGCUAAGUGGGUGGUAGAAAAUAAAGAGCUUGAAGAAUUAAACAGUGAAACUGAUAAGAAAUUGAAAGGUAAAUGACCUUCUCUCAUUAAUGCUCUUUUAUUAAUGAAUUCGAACCAUUCUUUUGCCGGAAAUGGGCACCGGAGGAUGUCGAAUUUCAGGUUAAUGCUGGCGCCUUAGAGUAGGAUUUGGAGGGUAAAAAAGUUGCAGCCCAUGAAGCUAUGAUUGGGGGAGGCAGUCACUGGUUUAUUCCAUUACGAAUGAAUGCAUUUGCUGAAAGAACGCAGAGCAAAGAGGAAAAGGGAAAAGGUAAAGUGGACUCAUUAAAAGAUAAAGCCAUAAACUACAGUGUAAAGAAAGAAAUUACCCACCUUCUGACUGGUAAAAUAAUUGAUGAAUUGGCCCAAGAGAUACACUGUUCCUCAUAAUGAUUGUAUAUUUGUAUAUGAUGGUUAUGCUUUGUAUAAUACGUCCCUAUGAGAUUGUAUAAUUUUUCUAGUUUUACUGGUGAUUUUUGGAGAUUGACAGCAAGAUUUUUUUACUCUGCUUACAGUAAAGGUUUAAGCAGAAACAGUAGAGGUUAUUUAUUUAUUUUUAAAAUUUUUAGUUUUAAUUUAUCUAACAUUGUACCAACUAGAACAGAGUAUCCCUAGCACGAGAUCGAGAAGGAUUGGAGUAAGCAGGUUGUAUUAAAGGCUAAGUGGAAGGUGGAAAAUAAAGAACUUGAAGAAUUAAACAGUGAAACUAAUAGGAAAUUAACAGAUAAUGGAAUUUCAGGUUAAUGCCGGCACCCUAAAGUACGACUUGGAGGCUAAAAAUGUUGCAGCCAUAUGAUUGGGGGAGACAGAGUCACUAGUUUAUUCCAUUGUGACUCUUGUCUGUUCUCGAUCACUUCUUGUCACAGAGGUUUAAUAUCUAGGCAAAGAGGUUGAACACUGAUAGUGUAAGAAGUUAGAUCCGCCAUAUCACAUUAGCAACCAGUACUAAACGGGACUGACCAGAGCACCCAGCCACAAGCACCACAGCGGCUCUGUCAUUGCAUUUCAACAUGUUGCUCCCCACUUUUCUGGUUGUACUAAAGGCUAAGUGGAAGAUGGAAAUUAAAGAACUUGAAGAAUUAAACAGUGAAACUAAUAGGAAAUCACAGACAAUGGAAUUUCACGUUAAUGCUGGCACCCUAAAGUACGAUUUGAAGGGUAAAAAUGUUGCAGCCAUGAAUCUAUGAUUGGGGGAGACAGAGUCACUGGUUUAUUCCAUUGUUAAUGCAGGCACCCUAAAGUAGGAUUUGGAGGGUAAAAAUGUUGCAGCCAUGAAGCUAUGAUUGGAGGAGGCAGAGUCACUGGUUUGUUCCAUUGUGAGUUGCUCUCUCGUGUCGUUAGGUGAAAGGUAAAGUGGACUUAUUGAAAGAUGAAGCCAUAAACUGCAGCGUAAAGAAAGAAAUUACCCACCUUCUGACAGAGGUUCAAUAUUUAGGCAAGGAGGUUGAACACUGUUAGUGUAAGAAGUUAGAUCCGUCAUCAUUCAACACAUCCGCAACCACCACGUAACAGGGACUUGAGCGCCUAACCACAAGAGUAUCCUUAGCUCGAGGAUAUUCACAUCAAGCCUUGUUUGGAAUAAGGGAAGGUUGAGAAGGAUUGGAGUAAGCAGGUUGAAGGGAAGGUUAAGUGAGGGGUAAAAAUAGAGAGCUUGAAGAAUUAAACAGUGAAACUGAUAAGAAUAUGACAGGUAAAUGGCCUUUUCUCAUUAAUUUUCUAUGAUUAAUGAAUUUGAACUUCUCUUCGGUAAGAACAUGGCAGUAAUCUUUGAUGUUUGUUGUAAAGGGCCAGAUUCUAUGCUUGGUUGCUCUAUUAAUUACCAUUGGUUAUUGAAAAUAAUAAUCAUAAACAUGAACAUUCCAGACACUUAUAUUUUUUAAAUACCUUUUAAAGGUA